UAGGGAAUCUUCCGCAAUGGACGCAAGUCUGACGGAGCAACGCCGCGUGAGUGAAGAAGGAUUUCGGUUCGUAAAACACUGUUGUUAGAGAAGAACAGCGCAUAGAGUAACUGUUAUGCGUGUGACGGUAUCUAACCAGAAAGCCACGGCUAACUACGUGCCAGCAGCCGCGGUAAUACGUAGGUGGCAAGCGUAGUCCGGAUUUAUUGGGCGUAGAGCGAGCGCAGGCGGUCAAUUAAGUCUGAUGUGUAAGCCCCCGGCUCAACCGGGGAGGAUCAUUAGGUACUGGUUGACUUGAAUGCAGAAGAGGAGAGUGUAAUUCCAUGUGUAGCAGUGAAAUGCUUAGAUAUAUGGAGAAACACCAGUGGCGAAGGCGACUCUCUGGUCUGUAACAGACGCUGAGGCUCGAAAGCGUUGGUAGCAAACAGG
rnacentral:rRNA from 1 species